GCCGCCGUGGUGGAAUUGGCAGACACACCAGACUUAGGAUCUGGCGCUUCGGCAUGGGGGUUCAAGUCCCUCCGGCGGCACCA
rnacentral:tRNA from 1 species